CACAAAAAAGCACACACACACACACACACACACACACUAAAUGAAACUGAAAUGUUGAGGAUUUGCAGACUUCCAAAGUAUAAACCCACCCAGAAGAAAGUUUAACCAUCAGCUCUCACCAACCCAAUGACACCAGCAUGGGCUGGAUUGAGUCCCUUCUCCUCCUGGAGAUACCCCGUGACUCUCAACUCACAAUAUCUGUCUUUGGUAAAUUUCCAUGAAUCAGAAUCUCUAGUCUCUAAUGAGAACACAGAGCCGAUCCCUGCAUUCUGAAAGGUUCUUUCCCAUCUUCAUUCUUCCCAAAAGGAGAGAGCCUUAUCUCCCUCACCAGCCUGGGAGUUCCCUGAGGGCAGGAUCAGGGACUAAGUGUUCUCUCUCUUUGCAGCCCUCAAGAGAAGAGGAGGAGGCCCAGCAAAACAAAUUAAAUCAGUGAUGGAGGACUGAGUGAUCAGCCAUACAGUGGGAAGAGAAAUGUGCAAGUGUUUGGAGGAGUUGGCAAGCCUGUGGCCCAGAGUGCACCAGUGGGGGAAAAGGAAGAUGGAGGAACAGAGGAUCCAGCACUUCAACUGCUAGUGCUGCCACUAAUUACUCCAAUCUUGGAAUUAUUACAAAUGCUGGAGGAAGAAAUGACUGACCACUCCGAUAUCUUUGCCGAGAAAACCCCAAAUGGGGUCAGGAAGAGUCAGACAUGACUGAAAUGACUCAACAGCAACAUUAUUACAGCACCCCCCAAACAGGUAAAAGCUUGGAUGAAUCAGGACCAUCCUAGACUCUCUGGAACAAAAGAGGAAUCUACACUGUCCUGGUUGAGAGGAAGCUUAGGGAGUAGAAAUAAGAGAAAGCCCCUUUGAGGCAGCCUUAGACAAUUUUCUUUUUUCAUUGUUUCUCCUAGACAGGUAGAGAGAACCCCAUCAUUCUUUCCCUGCCCCCAUCCUCCCUAGAGUGGGGAAAGUAACUAUAGAAAAAAAUUAUGUUCCUGGGAAUGUGAGAAGAGAAGAAUGCCUCAGUUUCACAAGAAUGGGGGACCAGGAAGAAGGAGUAUAUUGCACUUCAGUCAAAUAAUUCCUAGCCCUAACCACUGUUAAAUGUGUCUGGGGAAUGGGGAAGCUAGGUAGCAAUAAGAUAGUUCAGUGGAGAAGGAACAAGAUCUAGAGAUGGGAGGUCCUGGAUUCAAAUCUGACCUCAAAUCCAUCCUAGCUGUGUGACCCUGGGCAAGAAAAAUACUCUAACUAAUCAUUGCAAGAACACAACAUUGUGUUUGUGGAAUGAAUGAAUGAGCAAAGUCACUUAAUCCUUCUCUCUUCCCUUUCAUUUCUAUGACCGACCAAAGAAAAGAAUGUGUAUGAAUGUGUGUGUGUGUGUGUGUGUGUUGGUGGGGUGUUCAGGAAAACCACAGGGUUUCUGAACUGGAUAAUAUUUAAUUUGUUAAAAGCCCCUAAAAAUGAUAUGACAUGGAUAUAUCCCUACAAUCAAGAAUUGAUGUCAGUUAGACUUUCUCUUUUACAAAAAAAUAAAUUUCUAUUGAUAUCUUUUAUCUCUGCAUCCCCCAAGUUUUCCCCAGCAUCCCUCCUCUCUAUCUUCCCAGAGAGCGAUCUCAUAGAACAAUUUUUAUUAACAAAGAAGAGGAUAAAACAACAAAAACCAUUGAAUAUAUUAAAAAUCUGCCAAUAUAUGUAAUAUCCCACAUUGAUGGAGUCCCUAUCCUUUUUAUAGGAGUUGGGAAAGGUUUCAUCUCACAUCUCCUUUGGGGAUAGGACUGUUCUUUAUAAGUUGGUGGUGACAGAUUGUUUUGAUUGCUUUUCUUUCCAAUUUUAUUUGUUGCUUUUUUUUGGCUCUGUUUAUUUCACUUUGCAUCAAUUCAUUUAAAUCUUUCAGUGCUUCUCUGUAUUCAUCGCAUUUGUCAUUUCUUACAGUAAAGUCCUAUUCUAUUACAUUCAUGUGCACAACUUUUUUAAGCCAUUCUCCAACAGAUGGUCAUUUUUAUUUCACAAAAAGAACUUUCAAACCUUAAAUUGAAUAGAAACUUAGAACAGAGAUGUAAUUCUCCAUGAGUAAGAGAAAGUAGGUGCUAAGAAAUACUUAAUGCCUGUGGACUUCGCUUGGAUAUCUGGUUGUUUUCUAUUCUAAAAGAUCUUAAUACCUGAAGACUUAGACUCUGCUUUGGGAAAGGACAAGUACAGUCAAGACCUCUCAGAAUUAACAGACUCCCCUAUUUAUGAAAAGACAAUAACUUAGAGUUUUCUCUUUGAGCUUAUAAAAGGCAUACCUCUCCUAAAAAGCUGAAGCUUAAGCCUCUAGGCUGCAACCUAAAAGGGAUCUGGAAGAGACCACUCCUCUAAUGGACAGAAGACAAUACCUCAGAAGGACUUCAAUUGAAGCCAAGAAGCUGAUGGCUGGGAGAAGUUCUGGAAUUAGACUCAGAUAUGCAAUAGUUAGUAGAGAAUAUGGUAUAAGUGACUGUAAGACCUAGAUCCCUGUUGGUGAACAUAUGGCACUCAUACUGGAGAGGGCUGCUUCCUUCACCCUUCCUACCAUACCUGAGGACAUUUCUCACAUCAUGUGCACCUCUGCCCAGCAGCCCAAAGGGAGUGCUUCCUCCUUCCCCUAUCUGGGUUAAGAUUGGGGGCUCACACAUGCCUUGAGGGUACAGUUUGGGCACUCGGUGUCUAAAAGGUUUGCCAUCACAACCUAGAGGCAGAAACCAUAAUAAGUUUAUCUUAGACAACAUUUGACUUGAAACCAUGGAGGAGCAUACCCAAUGGGAGCAGUGCAGUGAUACUACCAGAAGACAUAAAUAGCCCUGCAGUUAUGGAAACAUGACUUGCCCCUCCAAGAAUGUGUGUGUUCAUCCAUGUGUGCACCCUCAUCACAAAUGUUCCUCAUGCCUCAUCAUGUGUGCAUCAUCCAUGUAUGUUCUCUACAUGUGUACCCUGCUGUGUACGUUCCCUAAGUGUUUUGACUUUUUAUGUGAAAGUUAUGUAUAUGUAUGGGAUGGUAUGCCUCAGGUUUAUGGGGAAGAUAUCUAUUGCAAUUUCACUACCUUGACUUUGUUUUGAAUUAGUUGCAUUCUCUGACUGACUAGUAAACGUAAUCACAUUGCUGGGGCCCCAAGAACCAUGGUUUUGAAUGGGAAUAUAGAAGAACAUAGAAGAAGAAUAUGAUCCUACGGAAAUUUAUCUGGGUGUACCACAUGCAAAAGGGUAGUUUCCCAGGAGCUAUAUAAGUAUUGUAGCUAAGUAGAAUUUUUAUUGAAACUCACUGUGAUAUAAAUCAAUAAACAAGCAUUACAUUGCAAUUGUAUGCAUUGCUGCAAUGUUUAAACAAUAUUCUAACUAAUCAUUGCAAGAACACAAAAUGUGUUUGUGGAAUGAAUGAAUGAGCAAAUCAAUAAAUACCAUCCAGACCUAACUUUUCUCCUGAUCUCCAGUCUUGCAACACCAAUUGCCUAUUGUACAUAUCUGAUUGGCUCUUCCAAAGGGAUCUAAAAUUCAACAGAACUAAAACAUAAUUGCCCUCAAUGUGCUUCUGAUCUAAAAGGAAAGACAAUAACAAAGAAGAUGGCAGAAAACAUGGCGAAAAUACCAGAGGGUACUCAGUGUGGCAGUUGUACUGGCGGCAGUGGUGGUGGAAUGCAUCUUAUUCUAUGGAGUU